AACUGAGAAAAUCGAGAAAGAGGGAGGAAGAAAAAAAUGAAGAAAGAAGAAGAAGAAGAAAAAGAAGAAGUGGGUUUUCAAUUUUGGGGAGCUCCAUUUCUUCAAUUUCUCAUUUGAUUUUGAGAGGAAAAUACUCAAGGCAUCUUGGUAAGGGAAUAUGAUUUACUAGAGCGAGUGCGUAAUAUCAUACUUGAUAUUUGAAGUAGAAGCGGUGACGAAAAGAUUGAAACCAUGGUCGACUAUUACUUGAUAGAAAACAGACAAAUUGAGCAGCUUUGGAGCAUGUCGAACCACCGAAUUGAGCCACGCGUCAUAGGUUGUAUGACAUCUUUUAUCAGAUUAUACAUUGUGUUCUUUUGGGAUACACAUAGGUUAAAUCAGAAAAGUUCAUUAUGGGCUCAUUAGAUAUUUGGUAUCUUUAGUACUUUUGAAGAUUAUUGGCUGUAAAGCAAGUAAAUAUUGAUUUCCUAGCAUUUUAUUUAAAUAGUUUGUAUUUUUGAGGGACU
rnacentral:lncRNA from 1 species